rnacentral:rRNA from 1 species
UACGGUAGGGUGCAAGCGUUGUCCGGAAUUAUUGGGCGUAAAGAGCUCGUAGGCGGUUUGUUGCGUCGGCUGUGAAAUCCCGAGGCUCAACCUCGGGUCUGCAGUCGAUACGAGCAAACUAGAGUGUUGCAGGGGAGACUGGAAUUCCUGGUGUAGCGGUGAAAUGCGCAGAUAUCAGGAGGAACACCGAUGGCGAAGGCAGUGUUCGUGGGC